GAUGAACGCUGGCGGCGUGCCUAAUACAUGCAAGUCGAGCGAACGGACGAGAAGCUUGCUUCUCUGAUGUUAGCGGCGGACGGGUGAGUAACACGUGGAUAACCUACCUAUAAGACUGGGAUAACUUCGGGAAACCGGAGCUAAUACCGGAUAAUAUUUUGAACCGCAUGGUUCAAAAGUGAAAGACGGUCUUGCUGUCACUUAUAGAUGGAUCCGCGCUGCAUUAGCUAGUUGGUAAGGUAACGGCUUACCAAGGCAACGAUGCAUAGACGACCUGAGAGGGUGAUCGGCCACACUGGAACUGAGACACGGUCCAGACUCCCACGGGAGGCAGCAGUAGGGAAUCUUCCGCAAUGGGCGAAAGCCUGACGGAGCAACGCCGCGUGAGUGAUGAAGGUCUUCGGAUCGUAAAACUCUGUUAUUAGGGAAGAACAUAUGUGUAAGUAACUGUGCACAUCUUGACGGUACCUAAUCAGAAAGCCACGGCUAACUACGUG
rnacentral:rRNA from 1 species